UGAUCGUUCUGCACUCAUGCCACCUCCUGCCCUCCCCCAAUUGCCUCUCUUCUCCUCAUUUGUCACCUGCCUCCUUCCAAAGAAACGCCCUUUCCCUCACUCUAGUUGCCCACCACAAGGUGAAGACUCUCAUUACCUGUUCCACUCUUAUUAGCAUAAGAAAACCAAGCUCAUAAGACGAAACUUCACAAAAGAUGUCUAAGCAAUAACCAACUCAGUUUAUAAAUCCAGAGAUUCCUGCCUAUGUUGGAUUUGCAAAGUUUCCCAAUCAAGUUCACCGAAAAUCAAUGAAAAAAGGUUUUAGUUCACACUAAUGGUGGCUGGUGGAUGAGGUCUAGGAAAAUUGACUCUCAUAAACAGCCUUUUCCUGACUGACCUCUACCCAGAAAGAUCAUACUUGGAGCUGCAGAGAAAAUUGAAAUAACUGUCCAGAUUGAGGCUUCAAUUGUUGAAAUUGAAGAGUGAGGGGUUAAGCUACACCUGACAGUGGUGGACACCCCUGGCUAUGGUGACGCUGUCAUUUGCAGGGAUUGUUUUAAGACAAUUAUCUCCUAUAUUGAUGGGCAGUUUGAACGGUACCUGCAUGACAAGAGUGGCUUGAACAGGCGGCACUUCAUUGAUAACAGGGUGCACUCUUGCUUUUACUUUAUUUCACCUUUUGGACAUGGAUGUCAGCCCUUAGAUGUCGUGUUUAUGAAGGCAAUACACAAUAAGGUGAAUAUGGUGCCUGUCAUUGCAAAAGCUGACUCUCUGACUCUGAAGGAACAGGAGCGGUUGAAGAAAAGGAUUCUAUAUGAAAUUGAAGAACAUAACAUCAAAAUCCAUCACUGGCCCGAUCACUUACUUGAUGAAGAUGAAGAUUUCAAAGAGCAGACUAGACUUCUCAAGGCCAGCAUCCCAUCCUCUGUGGUUGGAUCCAAUCCGUUAAUUGAAGCCAAAGACAGAAGGUCAGGGGCUGCCUCUCCCCGUGGGGGGUUGUGGAGGUGGAGAACCCGGAACACAAUGACUGUCUGAAGCUUAGAACCAUGCUCAUCACCCGCAUGCAACAUCUCCAGGAGGUAACCCAGGACCUUCACGAUGAAAACUUCCGUUCCGAGAGGCUCAAGAGAGGUGGAGGGAAAGUGGGGAACGAGGCCGUGAACAAAGACCAGCUCUUGCCGGAAAAGGAAGCCGAGCUUUGCCGCACGCAAGAGACGAUCGCAAGGAUGCAGGCGCAGAUGCAGACGCAGAGGCAGGGCGGGGAUGGCGACGGCGGGGCUCUCGGGCACCACGUGCGAGGUGAUGUGCCCAUAUAA